rnacentral:snoRNA from 11 species
UCACUGUGAUGAUAGUAUUCCAAACAUUUGCGGUUUCCAACAGAAAUUAUUUCCUUUAGUGUUGGCCAGUCCUUCCUUGGAUGUUAGAGUGA